UGUUUGGAGAAUGAAAAUGGACAAUAAAGGAAAUGCAAGUUACUAGCAAAUAUUUCAACAUGUCUUGGAACUUUAUUUUAUGAACUGUCAGUACCAUCUGCAAUGUGGAUGGACAUACAUGCUUCUUAGAAUAUUUUCAUUUUAUGUUCAAUUCUUUGUUUAUUUACUGAGAUUGUCAAAGUAAUUCCUUUGCUCAGUAAUUUUAAGGGAACUAUAACCUAUAGUUUUGGCAGCCAGUUUUAUUUGGUUUAUUUACUUUUUUGGGGAAAUUCUUUUAUAUUUUCUAUUAUUCGGCUCUUAUUCUGUUCUUGAGAUCUGAAUUUCUGUAAGUUACUAUAAUUAUAAAAAAUGUUAUUUUUUUUCUUGAUUAAAUUGAUUGAUGAGGAAUUUUAUCACAAUGCAUGUGCUUGUUGUUGGAGGCCAUGUGCCCUGCUGUACUGUGCUAUUGUAAAAUGGAUACUGAAUUUAGGGGCUUCUGUCAAGUUUUGUAAAUAUAUAAACAACUCUAUUGGGAUGCUUGACACUGCUGACAUUAUAGGAUCUCAUGAAGCCGCAUAUGUGCAAAUGUGAGGAAGAAAUCGGUCAUCCAAUGGUUUCAUACUUGUUUGAAUGCAGGGAAUUGCUAGGAGG
rnacentral:misc_RNA from 1 species